GCACGGGGGCAACCCUGGUGGCGAGUGGCGAACGGGUGAGUAAUACAUCGGAACGUGCCCAGUCGUGGGGGAUAACUACGCGAAAGCGUAGCUAAUACCGCAUACGAUCUACGGAUGAAAGCGGGGGAUCGCAAGACCUCGCGCGAUUGGAGCGGCCGAUGGCAGAUUAGGUAGUUGGUGGGGUAAAGGCUCACCAAGCCGACGAUCUGUAGCUGGUCUGAGAGGACGACCAGCCACACUGGGACUGAGACACGGCCCAGACUCCUACGGGAGGCAGCAGUGGGGAAUUUUGGACAAUGGGCGCAAGCCUGAUCCAGCCAUUCCGCGUGCAGGAUGAAGGCCCUCGGGUUGUAAACUGCUUUUGUACGGAACGAAACGCGCCGGGCUAAUACCUUGGCGUAAUGACGGUACCGUAAGAAUAAGCACCGGCUAACUACGUGCCAGCAGCCGCGGUAAUACGUAGGGUGCAAGCGUUAAUCGGAAUUACUGGGCGUAAAGCGUGCGCAGGCGGUGAUGUAAGACAGAUGUGAAAUCCCCGGGCUCAACCUGGGAACUGCAUUUGUGACUGCAUCGCUGGAGUGCGGCAGAGGGGGAUGGAAUUCCGCGUGUAGCAGUGAAAUGCGUAGAUAUGCGGAGGAACACCGAUGGCGAAGGCAAUCCCCUGGGCCUGCACUGACGCUCAUGCACGAAAGCGUGGGGAGCAAACAGG
rnacentral:rRNA from 1 species